GGGAAAAGGGCUGCUGCAUUUUAGUGAUAGCACAGACAGAGGCUGCAGGAACAGACGGGGGACGGGGAGAAUCGAUGAGAAAGGUAGAAAUUAAAAGAGAGGAGCGGAGCAUUGUCUGAGAGAGCAUGACAGGAUUCCCACACAGACUGUGACAAACGUGUACCUGAAGAAGCAGCAGAAGGGGGGGAAAGGGAGCACCCUUGCAUCACUGUCCACAGCAAGUGAAAAGACAGCUCUGUUUCAGAAGAGGGGAGAAGAAACCACCUGUAAUCAUGUUGUCCUUCCAUCGGUCUCAACAAUAGGCAGCUGUCUCAUUUCGUUGCCUGGGCCAAAAGAGAAAUGCUGAAUGGAUCCCUAUGUGCUGUUAGAGACAGGAGUAAAAAAAAAAUAGCAAGCUUCUGGGAGGAAAAGGGAGGAGAGAGCAGUAUGAGUCAGAGCACAGCAGCUAGAAUAGUGUGUAUUUGGCAUGCAAGAGGAGAGGUACAGGGAGAUAGAGGAACAAUGAGAAAGAUAUAAGGGGGGGAAUACAGAGGACUCAACCAGAAAUCAGCAGUCAUUAGACAGAAGAAGGACAGGAGGAAACAGAAGACACUGGCAGGAGGUUGUACGAUAUAGGGCAAGUGAAUCAGCUUGCUAGAGGGAGACAAAGGCAAGUUUACAGAGUGAAGGUUUCAUAUGACUGAAGAGGGUUUGAGGGAAGGUUAUUUGAAGGUUUGCUGCAGGGUGGAGAGUAAACAGAAACAGUGAAGGACAGAAGGACCGGCUUAAUAAAAAACUAUGUGAGCAGCUACAAGGGAUAAGGUCCUGAGUGAGGAGACAUUACUGAGGUUUGUACAUGGCAGCACAAGCUUCAAGAAGGUUGACAAAUUGAUAGAGAGAAGAGAGGAACAAAAAAAGAGUAGAACAUAGAGAUGACGCGGCAUGAGAACUUUAACUCUGAUAUCCCAGAGCAAGAGUUUCCCGUUAAAUAUUGAUGCUGACACCCCACUCUGGAAAGAACUCGCUCCUUGCACCGUGGAGGGCGAAACAGAAGGAAAAAACACUGGCUUUUUUAAAUUCUAAGGGAUUUUUUCACCGGAAUAAACAAGCAGUUAAGUGUGUCAGAUGACAGCCGAGUUGGGAUAAGUUCAAAUGUUGCUACAAAUUAAGACAAGACAUACACAUCUUGGGCCAGCUGUGCAAGUUCUCUGGGAGAGUGGAAUUACUACAGAGAGAGGAACUGGACCUUCAUCUUGUGUGGAAACAACGAAGAAGAAGGAAAUUAACGUUGGAGAGAUCACUAAGACUACAUCAGGACCAGAACAAUUUCUUCUUUUCUAUGAGAACAUGAUCCACUUCUGGCUGAUUAAUACAGAUCUGUUUUGGAUUGACAUGUUGUACCUGCUUUGACAGUCACUCUGGGGCUACAUCACUGCCAGAUGAGAGAAGCCAAACACUGCUGAAGCAUUCACAAAUCUUUCCUAUUUUUACUUUGUCCUAGACUGAUUGGAACUGUUCCAACUGUCUCUGAAAAUGACCUCAUUACAGAGAUUUGGCCAGUGGAAGAUUGCUGUCAUGGCUUGAGGAAAUGUAAGUGUGGAAAUGAUUUGAUGUGCAACAACACACAUCAUCCUUAAUUGGAAGCAGAGUGCAUACUUCGUUUUUGUCUCCAUGACUACAUAAGGACAAUUCUACAACUUAUUUUAACCAAGGAGUUAAAAUAGAGACUUCCUUUGCUGCGACCUGAAUCACAGAUUCCUCAAAACAGUAACGGAGGAGGACACAACAACACAGUCUCCAUACAGCUGCGGAUAUACCAGCUGCAUUUUUAUGUGUGUGUGUGUGUGUGUGUGGAGGGCUAUAAGGACUGUCAAAAAGCUCAGCUGUGUUUGUGUGUUUGCUUGUGUGGGUGUGGAGGUGUAUGUGAGCCAAGCCGUGUCUAAGUGUAUUUUCUAAGCAUCCCCUGGAGCUGUGUGAGUGUGUGUUUUGUGUGUGUGUGUUGCCAGAAUUCUCCCCACCAGCGACAGAGCUGGACCUGAACAGCAGUGGUGAGAGGGGGGACAGGGAGGGGGAGGAGGAGGAGAAGAGAGAGGUGAAAGAAACCAACAGGGCGGAGGAUAAGAAAAAACUGACAACAUGCUCGGAUAAAGAAAAGAAAGAAGGGAGUUUUGGGCUGCCCCCCUGGUGCAAUGUGUGGCGUGGCGCCCUGUGGGGGUGGGGUUCUGUGAUGGUAACCAUGGUCCCCGGCAGCCGCUAUGUCUGCAGCGCUCACGCUAGAGAGGAAGACACGACAAAUGACCGCGAGGAGCGAAUUUUAGCUGUGCUGGGCAUAAUAGGAACCAUCCUCAAUCUUUUAGUGGUCAUAUUUGUCUACAUCUACACCUCCGUCACCUAAGGUUGUCUGCAAGAAUUUAAAUGAGGGACGUUGACACCGUCCUUAACCUUUCUCCGAACUGCCACCCUCCUCCUCUUUAAGUAUUUAUAUACCUAAGAGGGUUUGAGUAUUCAGAUUGAGCGGUAAGAUGUGAAGAUCCUUGGCAGUGACUUCAACUGGAUAGUAGCCAUAUUUAUCUACACCUGCAUCACUGCUUAUCCCUUAAGCUUUGCUCUGUUAGCUAAAAAGUACUGACAAUCACAGGGAAGAAGUUGCAGGUGGAGUCAUCUGCACUUUCCUCCAAUUGAUGAAACUGCAUCUUCAAGACAAUUUCACACAACCACACAUGUCACAUGACAGUAUAUCCAGUCUAGUAAUGGGCAUCUGUAUUCAUAUGACUGGGGCCAAGCAUUUCUGUGACUGCUCAGACAAGUGCCAUUGAUGUAAUGGUGGUCCUAUUUGACUGUGUUGCAUCUUCAUCUUUGUAACGUGUGUUACAUGUCAUAUGAAUCAAACUCCUUUGUGACAUUUAAGAUAUCACUGCCAGUUCAUUUUAUCUAAAUGGUGUGACAACAAAGGCACCUUUGAUUUAACCAGACUGGUUGUGAUUUAACCACAUUGGGUAGGGAAAGAUGUGGUACGCCAUUAAAACUAUUUAAAGGGACCAACAUUUCCAAGUGAAUUAUUAACAGAGGAACCCAUAGGCAUAUCUACUUCUGAGCACCCUUAAAUCUACUUGAAUAGUACAUGUAUACAAAUAUAUGGAUUAUUACUCACACCCAUUGCUAAAACUGUUUUUUGUGGUUAGUAGAGGGACUGAAAAACAUUUACAUGGACAUAACGUGUCCACACCUGAGCACACCAGAGGAGAGAUUCCUGGCAGUGUUGGGAGUCAUCGGCAUUAUACGCAACCUUCUGCUGCUAGUCUUUGUCUAUAUAUACACCUCCAUCUGAUAUAUUUACCUGCACACUGUAUAUCAGCUAUUAGAUACACCUGCCACACCUAACAGCACCUGUACCUUAGACUGUUCUUCGACCACACCUGUAUAUAUUGUACCUAAGUAAAACCUGGUACAAAGCCAAUUUGGGGAUUAUAUGAUAUUCUAGGCAGCUUUACGUGCCUGUUAAUAUAGUGAUACUCCAACAAUAGUGGCAACAUGCACAGAAGGUGAUGAGAGAAUUGAGAGGCCAAAGCAGUGCCACUCACUGACACAAACUAAUUUAUAAUAAAUAAAUACACUUUAAGAAUUUACAUUUUAAAGUUGGUGUUUUUGUAGAUACAGUACUAUUUUCACAUAUGUGCAUGAUGAGAUGUUUAAAUGUUGUUUCAAACUUGUAUUAUUAUUAUUAUUAUCUUCAUCAAGAUUUGACCAAAAUACCUGACGUCAAGACUGCCAUUUCCUAUUGUUAAUCUUUUUGUUAUACAUGUUUAUUGAUGGUGGAAACACUCAUGGAAUUGAAUGGUGUUGAUGUUUCAGUCUGUGCAGUGGCUCUGCACACCAUUAAAGAUCUCUCUGUUGAAGGGCGGUGCAGUGGGAUAAUGGUCUAUUUUCUGGUGCCGUGUUUGUGUGAUUGGCUCUGUAAGCCAUGUGCAACAGAGCAAAGCGUGGAACUGAGACAAUGUUGCGCAAAGCAAGACGGUGGCCUGUUGCGAUGCAACACGAAGAACCGCAACAGUAAAAAAAGAGUCAGGCUGAACAAGUGUGGAUUAUCUAAAAAAAGACGAUUUAAAACCUCUGUACAAGGCUUCAUCAUCCGUCUCAAAACUCAUAAAAGCACAAAAACCUCCCAGGGAUUCGGUUACAACAUUUCCUCUAAAGCUGCAUGUCACUCUGGAUAUGAUUUUAGGUCUA